rnacentral:tRNA from 1 species
AUUUAAGUAGUUUAAAAAAAAUAUUAGUUUGUGGAGCUAAAGAUAUAAAAAUUUUAUUUUAAAUU